rnacentral:rRNA from 1 species
CACUCCUACGGGAGGCAGCAGUGGGGAAUAUUGCACAAUGGGCGCAAGCCUGAUGCAGCCAUGCCGCGUGUAUGAAGAAGGCCUUCGGGUUGUAAAGUACUUUCAGCGGGGAGGAAGGCGAUAAGGUUAAUAACCUUGUUGAUUGACGUUACCCGCAGAAGAAGCACCGGCUAACUCCGUGCCAGCAGCCGCGGUAAUACGGAGGGUGCAAGCGUUAAUCGGAAUUACUGGGCGUAAAGCGCACGCAGGCGGUCUGUCAAGUCGGAUGUGAAAUCCCCGGGCUCAACCUGGGAACUGCAUUCGGAACUGGCAGGCUAGAGUCUUGUAGAGGGGGGUAGAAUUCCAGGUGUAGCGGUGAAAUGCGUAGAGCUCUGGAGGAAUACCGGUGGCGAAGGCGGCCCCCUGGACAAAGACUGACGCUCAGGUGCGAAAGCGUGGGGAGCAAACAGGAUUAGAAACCCUUGUAGUCCC